GCGGGAAUAGCUCAGUUGGUAGAGCACGACCUUGCCAAGGUCGGGGUCGCGAGUUCGAGUCUCGUUUACCGCU
rnacentral:tRNA from 1 species